UACGUAGGUGGCAAGCGUUAUCCGGAAUUACUGGGCGUAAAGCGCACGCAGGCGGUCUUUUAAGUUUGACGUGAAAGCUCCCGGCUUAACUGGGAGAGGUCGUUGAAGACUGGAAGACUUGAGGCAAUGAGAGGGGUGUAGAAUUCCCGGUGUAGUGGUGGAAUGCGUAGAUAUCGGGGGGAAUACCAGUGGCGAAGGCGGCCGCCUGGGCCAGUCCUGACGCUGAGCCGCGAAAGCGUGGGGAGCGAUCCGG
rnacentral:rRNA from 1 species